CUAGUGGCGGACGGGUGAGGAAUACGUAGGAAUUUGCCCUUAAGUGGGGGAUAACCCGGGGAAACCCGGAUUAAUACCGCAUGAUCUUUUCGAAGCAAAGCCGGGGACCGCAAGGCCUGGCGCUUUUGGAGAAGCCUACGUCGGAUUAGCUAGUUGGUGAGGUAAUGGCUCACCAAGGCUGCGAUCCGUAACUGGUCUGAGAGGAUGAUCAGUCACAUCGGAACUGAGACACGGUCCGAACUCCUACGGGAGGCAGCAGUGGGGAAUAUUGGACAAUGGGCGAAAGCCUGAUCCAGCAAUACCGCGUGUGUGAAGAAGGCCUUCGGGUUGUAAAGCACUUUAGGUCGGAAAGAAAAAACUUGAGUUAAUACCUUAAGUCUUGACGGUACCGACAGAAUAAGCACCGGCUAACUCUGUGCCAGCAGCCGCGGUAAUACAGAGGGUGCAAGCGUUAAUCGGAUUUACUGGGCGUAAAGCGUGCGUAGGUGGCUGUUUAAGUCGGAUGUGAAAGCCCUGGGCUUAACCUGGGAACUGCA
rnacentral:rRNA from 1 species